UACGGGGGGGGCAAGCGUUGUUCGGAAUUAUUGGGCGUAAAGAGCUCGUAGGCGGUCUGUCGCGUCGGCUGUGAAAUCCCGAGGCUCAACCUCGGGUCUGCAGUCGAUACGGGCAAACUAGAGUAUUGCAGGGGAGACUGGAAUUCCUGGUGUAGCGGUGGAAUGCGCAGAUAUCAGGAGGAACACCGGUGGCGAAGGCGGGUCUCUGGGCAGUAACUGACGCUGAGGGGCGAAAGCGUGGGGAGCGAACGGG
rnacentral:rRNA from 1 species